rnacentral:rRNA from 1 species
CCUACGGGGGGCUGCAGUGGGGAAUAUUGGACAAUGGGCGAAAGCCUGAUCCAGCCAUGCCGCGUGUGUGAAGAAGGCCUUCGGGUUGUAAAGCACUUUCAGUGGGGAAGAAAGCCUUGGGGCUAAUACCCUCGAGGAAGGACAUCACCCACAGAAGAAGUACCGGCUAACUCCGUGCCAGCAGCCGCGGUAAUACGGAGGGUGCGAGCGUUAAUCGGAAUUACUGGGCGUAAAGCGCGCGUAGGCGGUCUGAUAAGCCGGUUGUGAAAGCCCCGGGCUCAACCUGGGAACGGCAUCCGGAACUGUCAGGCUAGAGUGCAGGAGAGGAAGGUAGAAUUCCCGGUGUAGCGGUGAAAUGCGUAGAGAUCGGGAGGAAUACCAGUGGCGAAGGCGGCCUUCUGGACUGACACUGACGCUGAGGUGCGAAAGCGUGGGUAGCAAACAGGAUUAGAUACCCCUGUAGUC